rnacentral:rRNA from 1 species
ACGCUGGCGGCGUGCCUAAUACAUGCAAGUCGAACGGUCUUUCUAUGGAAGCUUGCUUCCACUGAGAAGAUAGUGGCGAACGGGUGCGUAACACGUGGGUAACCUGCCCAUAAGAGGGGGAUAACAUCCGGAAACGGGUGCUAAUACCGCAUAGUUUUCUUGAUUGCAUGAUUGAGAAAGGAAAGACGGCCUUUGUGCUGUCGCUUAUGGAUGGACCCGCGGCGUAUUAGUUAGUUGGUGAGGUAACGGCUCACCAAGACGAUGAUACGUAGCCGACCUGAGAGGGUGAUCGGCCACAUUGGGACUGAGACACGGCCCAAACUCCUACGGGAGGCAGCAGUAGGGAAUCUUCCGCAAUGGACGAAAGUCUGACGGAGCAACGCCGCGUGAGUGAAGAAAGGUUUUCGGAUCGUAAAACUCUGUUGUCAGAGAAGAACAAGUUGGAGAGUAACUGCUCCAGCCUUGACGGUAUCUGACCAGAAAGCCACGGCUAACUACGUGCCAGCCGCUGC